AUUCACGGUAGGGUUCCCUAUGAAACCGGUCUGUCUACCAUCUCUCAAGAUAUCUAGUGAGAUGUCAUCUUAUCCAUUUAUCAGAUCACACUUCUUUUCUGUUUUUUCUUAGUCUCCAUUACCAAUCAAACAUAAAUACAUAAACAAGUAAACAUGCAUCCGACAAUGCAAUCAUAUCAUAGAUUCCCAAAAUCAAACAAUGGUUAAGUAAGGCAGUAAUA
rnacentral:lncRNA from 1 species